UGAGCAAUCUGCCCUUCUCUUCGGAAUAAGCGUUGGAAACGACGUCUAAUGCCGAAUACGACCUCCUUUCGCAUGAUCGGAGGUGGAAAGCUCCGGCGGAGAAGGAUGAGCUCGCGGCCUAUCAGCUAGUUGGUGUGGGUAAUGGCCCACCAAGGCGACGACGGGUAGCCGGCCUGAGAGGGUGACCGGCCACACUGGGACUGAGACACCGGCCCAGACCUCCGUACGGGAGGNAG
rnacentral:rRNA from 1 species